rnacentral:rRNA from 1 species
UUUUACUCCUACGGGAGGCAGCAGUGGGGAAUAUUGCACAAUGGGCGCAAGCCUGAUGCAGCAACGCCGCGUGAGGGAUGACGGCCUUCGGGUUGUAAACCUCUUUUAGCAGGGAAGAAGCGAGAGUGACGGUACCUGCAGAAAAAGCACCGGCUAACUACGUGCCAGCAGCCGCGGUAAUACGUAGGGUGCAAGCGUUAUCCGGAAUUAUUGGGCGUAAAGAGCUCGUAGGCGGUUUGUCGCGUCUGCUGUGAAAUUCCGAGGCUCAACCUCGGGCUUGCAGUGGGUACGGGCAGACUAGAGUGCGGUAGGGGAGAUUGGAAUUCCUGGUGUAGCGGUGGAAUGCGCAGAUAUCAGGAGGAACACCGAUGGCGAAGGCAGAUCUCUGGGCCGUAACUGACGCUGAGGAGCGAAAGGGUGGGGAGCAAACAGGCUUAGAUACCCUGGUAGUCCACCCCGUAAACGUUGGGAACUAGUUGUGGGGUCCUUUCCACGGAUUCCGUGACGCAGCUAACGCAUUAAGUUCCCCGCCUGGGGAGUACGGCCGCAAGGCUAAAACUCAAAGGAAUUGACGGGGACCCGCACAAGCGGCGGAGCAUGCGGAUUAAUUCGAUGCAACGCGAAGAACCUUACCAAGGCUUGACAUACACGAGAACGGGCCAGAAAUGGUCAAUCU